CGGAGGGUGCAAGCGUUAUCCGGAUUCACUGGGUUUAAAGGGUGCGUAGGUGGGCAAGUAAGUCAGUGGUGAAAUCUCCGGGCUUAACCCGGAAACUGCCAUUGAUACUAUUUGUCCUGAAUACUGUGGAGGUCAGCGGAAUAUGUCAUGUAGCGGUGAAAUGCUUAGAUAUGACAUAGAACACCAAUUGCGAAGGCAGCUGGCUACACAAAUAUUGACACUGAGGCACGAAAGCGUGGGGAUCAAACAGGAUUAGAUACCCUGGUAGUCCACGCCCUAAACUAUGGAUACUCGACAUUUGCGAUAAACUGCAAGUGUCUGAGCGAAAGCAUUAAGUAUCCCACCUGGGAAGUACGAUCGCAAGAUUG
rnacentral:rRNA from 1 species